GUGAGAGGCAGUGCUAGCUGGAUGGGACAUUGGAACAAUAGGAAGAAGCCAAGACUGUCCCAUACAAACCAGAGCAUAUGACUAACCAACCUUAACCCAGGUGGAGAAAUCAUAGUUCCUGCUCUCUAGACACUCACACCAUGAGGAAGGGGGAGUAGGUAUGAUAUGGAGGAACAUUCUGUGACUGUGAAGUCCAUAUUUGAGAAUGUAGGUGGGGGUGGACUUGGAUUUCCUGUCUAGCCAUGUGGGUUAAAAUGAGAGCUCCGAAUGCUGAUAACAUUUAAAACCUUGGCUCCUCUUGAAAGACCCUGUGGGAUACAGACCACUGGACAAAGAAGUUCUGUUGCCUCUUUCUCUUGGGAAGUCUGUAAACAUGAAGCUGUUUCUGGUUCUUUUUAUUCUGCUGUUUGAGGUACCCACAGGACUCAGAAAAUGCUUUAAUGAUACAAUAGGCUACUGCAGGAAGAAAUGCAAAAUAGGGGAAAUCUAUAAAGUGGAAUGUCUAAGUGGGAAAUUAUGUUGCAUUAAUGAAGAAGAAAGCAAAAGAUAUUUGGAAGCCCAUAAGCGGCAAGAACCUGAUGAGAAGGUGUCUGCUGGGAAGAUGGACUACGAUAUUACACCCACCAACAGCAUUUUCACAAUUGCACCCUAAAGCAAGCCCAUGUCUCCCUGGUCUCCACUCUUCCUAAAUCAAAAAUGUUGCUAAUCUAGUAGGCUGCAGCAAGAGAUUUAUCUACUUCCUUCUGUGAACUUGAUUCCCCACCUAAUAAAGUCCUAUGCUGUUCCCUGGA